AGUGAACGCUGGCGGUAGGCCUAACACAUGCAAGUCGAACGGCAGCACAGUAAGAGCUUGCUCUUACGGGUGGCGAGUGGCGGACGGGUGAGGAAUACAUCGGAAUCUACUUUUUCGUGGGGGAUAACGUAGGGAAACUUACGCUAAUACCGCAUACGACCUACGGGUGAAAGCAGGGGAUCUUCGGACCUUGCGCGAUUGAAUGAGCCGAUGUCGGAUUAGCUAGUUGGCGGGGUAAAGGCCCACCAAGGCGACGAUCCGUAGCUGGUCUGAGAGGAUGAUCAGCCACACUGGAACUGAGACACGGUCCAGACUCCUACGGGAGGCAGCAGUGGGGAAUAUUGGACAAUGGGCGCAAGCCUGAUCCAGCCAUCCCGCGUGGGUGAAGACGGCCUUCGGGUUGUAAAGCCCUUUUGUUGGGAAAGAAAAGCAGCAGGUUAAUACCCCGCUGUUCUGACGGUACCCAAAGAAUAAGCACCGGCUAACUUCGUG
rnacentral:rRNA from 1 species